rnacentral:tRNA from 1 species
GAGGGCGUAGCUCAAGUGGUAAAGCACGUGCCUGGCAUGCAUGAGGUCCUGGGUUCAAUCCCCAGUACCUCCU